rnacentral:rRNA from 1 species
CCCUGGCUCAGGACGAACGCUGGCGGCGUGCCUAAUACAUGCAAGUCGAGCGGAUCUUGUCCUUCGGGACAAGGUUAGCGGCGGACGGGUGAGUAACACGUGGGUAACCUGCCUGUAAGACUGGGAUAACAUUCGGAAACGAAUGCUAAUACCGGAUACGCAGCUUGGUCGCAUGACCGAGCUGGGAAAGAUGGAGCAAUCUAUCACUUAUAGAUGGACCCGCGGCGCAUUAGCUAGUUGGUGAGGUAACGGCUCACCAAGGCGACGAUGCGUAGCCGACCUGAGAGGGUGAUCGGCCACACUGGGACUGAGACACGGCCCAGACUCCUACGGGAGGCAGCAGUAGGGAAUCUUCCGCAAUGGACGAAAGUCUGACGGAGCAACGCCGCGUGAGUGAUGAAGGUUUUCGGAUCGUAAAGCUCUGUUGCCAGGGAAGAAUGCUUGGGAGAGUAACUGCUCCCAAGGUGACGGUACCUGAGAAGAAAGCC